rnacentral:rRNA from 1 species
UACGGAGGGUGCAAACGUUGCUCGGAAUCAUUGGGCGUAAAGCGCACGUUAGGCGGCCUAUCAAGUCGGGUGUGAAAGCCCUGGGCUCAACCCAGGAAGUGCACUCGAAACUGAAGGGCUUGAAUAUGGAAGAGGGUCGUGGAAUUCCCAGUGUAGAGGUGAAAUUCGUAGAUAUUGGGAAGAACACCGGUGGCGAAGGCGGCGACCUGGUCCGAGACUGACGCUGAGGCGCGAAAGCGUGGGGAGCAAACAGG